CUCAGUUCGGAUCGGAGUCUGCAACCCGACUCCGUGAAGCUGGAUUCGCUAGUAAUCGCGCAUCAGCCAUGGCGCGGUGAAUACGUUCCCGGGCCUUGUACACACCGCCCGUCAAGCCAUGGAAGCCGGGGGCGCUUGAAGUGCGUUGCCGCAAGGCGCGCCCUAGAGCGAAACCGGUNACUGGGGCUAAGUCGUAACAAGGUACC
rnacentral:rRNA from 1 species